CCGCCCCGAGGAAAGAAUCAGCAGGCUUUGUGUAAAGGGAUUAAGGCAUUAGCCUGCUCAGCAGGGAGAAGGGCUCUUGACUCUGUGGCAGUGUGGCCACGUUUCCAUGUGUCCAUGUGUCCAUGUGGGCUGCUGUAGGCCCUGGCUCACUGGUCCCAGGACCUGUGGCUAAAAGGAGGCAUUGCUGGAGGCCUCUCUUGAGAGGUGGGUACGUGGGCCAUGCUGCCUAUGCCCUCCUCAGGUCCCCAGAAGGAGCACUUCCAAGGGGUGCUGAGUCGGGGGAGGUGGGCAGGAAAAGAUGCCAGGGAAAGUUCUGAGCCCAGGUAGGAGUGACAGUGAUGUGUGGUGGAGAUCCUACAGCCAAACGAGGAGCAGUUAACAAUGCCACUUCAAAAACAGCGCCUGAGGCUCAGAAAGAAGGUGUAUCUUGCCAACCAUCACACAGCAAGUCACCAGCAGAGCUGAGACCAGAACCCAAGCUCCUGGUCCAGGGCUCAGUCAUUGAUUGUUCCAGCCACACGUGGCUGGUGCCAGGGGCCCGUCCGGUCUACUCCCUGCGGUGACUCUUUCUCCUGCCUCCCAACUCCAGAAAAGGAUCCUGCUGGGGAGCCUGGGGUGAGAUCCCAAGAGCCUUUCCGUGUGGACGUGGACAUAGUGGGGUAGGUCGAGAGACCAAAGCAGGAUUCUAACAGGCCUGGACAUAUGUCAUGGGCCAUCAAGACCAUCUGCAUGAAGGUCUUUUGCUACAGAAGUGAGGUGGCUUUUUGCAGCUGCUCAGGAGAACAAUCUGGCGUAGAAGUGGGAAGGGACCAGAGAAUGGGGCGUUGGAAGACCUAGGUUGGAGCCUCACCUCUGCCCUAUCUUCGCUGUGUGACCUUGAGCAGGUCACUCUAACUCUUGCCGCCUCAGCUUCCUAACAGCGCCCCUGCCCGGCCUCUCUUGCAGGCCCACAGAAUGAAAAGAGAGGAGUUCCAGGAAAGGGUUUGGCAGAUGGCAUCCCUGCAGGACUGCCUCGCGGCGCUCUGCCCCAUCCAGCCCCUACGUACUGGCCAUGUGACCUCAAUGUUUGAUGGACUCACUUGGCCUCUCUGAGGCUCGCUUUCUCCAUCUCUAAAAUGGAGGAUGAAGCAGGUUCAGCCCCACGGGCAGGCAGCACUAUGCCAGGGACAUGGCGAGCCCUCUGGAAAAGUUCACCUGAUCCAGACGUUGCUGGGUCAACGGGAAGGAAUGACUUUCACUCCUCUGCUUCAAACCACCAGACUGUCCUUGGCCCUCCCUAAUGAAGGAGCAGAGAACAGCAGAGUGGGCAGGGACCUUGGAGGUCAGCAGGGUGGCUGCUCAGCCCAGAGGCAACCGGGAGCUCGUCCCAGGGUGUGACAAUUCAGUCAGCCCUUUACUGAACACUCGGCUUUAAACCGCCUCAUGCCUGGCAUGAGGAAGGCACCGUGCUGGAGGGUUUCACCACGGUUCUCUGUGUGUCUCCGGGGAGCUCACUGUCCUGUCUGAGGCCCGUCCGGGGUCCGGACAGUGGAGCUUUCAGGUUCGUGCGCACCCUCUGCCUGCCUCUUCUCCCUGUCAGUAAGGACGUGGGUGUGGCUGGGAGGCAGAUCCUGGGUGGAGAACGGAGCUCCUGGUUCUGAACAGUUUGAGGGUCUGGAAGUCCUUUAAGAAGAUGGUGAAAACUAUGGACCUUCUCCCCAAAGAGAAGCACACAUCCACAUCCAGAGGCAAAAACCCCAUCGCUCAGAACCCCGUGGAUGAGGCAGUCAUUAUCCAGUGGUGCUGUCACUAUGGCUGGGGCUGGCCUUGAUCUCUGUUGCUGGAUUCCACAUGUUCAUUCUCUCUGGCCACAUUAUCAGAUCUCUAGCUCCAACAUCCUGUGUGAUACCAGGAUGGCCAUUGCCAUGAUCUUGUCCACGGGUCCACUUUCAGCAGCUGGGCCCUGGAGGGCAGCACACAGCUCAUGAUUGGGUUGGAGAUGGGGGAGUCAGGGGCAGAUGGUGGGAGCUGUCCCCAGCCCUGCCUCUCUUAGGACCCUCCUGGGACUCAGGUACAUAGGGUCCCUGAGAAAGACCCAGUUUGAUGAGACAGGCAGGAGGAAUAAGGAAGAGUGUAGUUUAAGAAAGUUUUCUCCAGCUCUGGUUCAUGCAUCCGUCCUGAAAGAAGGCAGGGAAAGGAUUAUUCACCCAUUUCACAGAUGAAGAAAUUGAGGCUUGGAGAGGUCACGGAGCACACAGAGCAAAGAAGUCAAAACCAGGAUUUGAAUCUACUCUGAUUACCUCCAGAGCCCAUGUCUUGUCCCAAUGGAUGGAAAAUUCUUAACUAUUUAACUCAAUAUUGAGCAGCUACUGUCUACAGAAUUCUGUGCCAGACAGCUUGGGAGACACAGACCUACAGGGAGAUAUAGUUCCCACUGGAAGCACCCAGGGCAGUAAUAAUUAUCAUCAUAACAAAGGAAUAAUAAUAGCUAACAUUUUGGAGCACUUACUAGGGACCAGCAUUAUGCUACACAGUUUUCAUGGAUUAUCUCAUUUAAGCUCUCAAAUAUUUUGGGGUGUAAAUAACAGUAUGCCCACAAUUUUUGUUUGUUGUUGGUGUUCAGAAGUGUAUAUCCGUUUUUGAGAAUGGAGGCUCAGCGAGAUUAGGAGCCUUGCUCUCAACGAGGGAGGAAUUCUGGCUGCGACUCUGUCCCUUACUACCUGGGCAUCACCUCUGUCAAACCUGGACAGGUGCCACUUAGACCUGGCUGAGGUUGGCUGAGGCGGGGAGGAUGGGGAGGUUGUGGGUAGGCAGCACCUAUUCAUACCCACAGUCCAGGGACUGUUCCAGAAGAAUAGUAUUCCCUGUGCCCUUGCCGCCUCUGAGCCUUGGUGUCCCAGCCUUUCGAUCCUCUCACUUCUGAUGUCCUUGAGCCAUAAUCUGAGCCAUUCUCUAGGAUAAGGAGAUGCUUGAGGUUGAGUGAAAGGUUGACAUUUCUGCAGGAGCAAAGAAUGACUUGAUGCAGGAGAGAAAGGCUGUGGGGGGAAAGUGAGUGAGGCAAAUCCCCAAGGCAGAGCAGAGCCUUCCAAAGGGUGCAGGGGAGAGUCUUGGUGGAGGGGGCCAGCCUUGCUCAGCAGCCCCAACCUCAACAAGGACCCCUACCCAAGAAGGCCUGCAAAAUAGCAAAUCAAUGAAGACAGCAAUGAAAGCAAUGAGGAGGGAAGAGGGACCAGAAUCCCAGUCACAUCAUCACCCCUCACCCCUUUUUCUGGCCUCAGUUUUCCUUCUGUGAACAGAGGGAGCUGGCCCUUCUGUCAUUUGCAGGAUUUUCAUCUCAGGCUGGCAGCAGGAGCUGGAAAAGUGAGGGAGGUCCCUCCCUUCCCCGGCCCGGGGUCUGUGAUUGGCAGCACCUCCUCCUCUCUUCCUCUCCUGUCCCUUCCUUCCCCUUCCCUCCCCUGCUUUCCUUUCCCUUCCCCUCCUCCCCUUCCCUUCCCCAGUCUUCCCCUCCCACUCUUUCAAGCCCCCAGCGUGCUGUGCAGUUAUUAGUUUAGGUUCAUUUAGAAUCGGCUUAGCAACCCCACACCCCUGGAACCUGGAAGCUUAAAGCACAAGAUGUCUGGCAAAUGGAAAUUCAAUUGCUUUAAUAUAGAGACUAUUUUGCUGCAGUCGAACUGGAGCCUCUUAUUAAGAAUCUGAUGGAAUUUCUAAACAGGGAGAGAGGCCCCAAGGAGGGGGCAUCGCCCAUCACACACCAACAUUGCUCUUGACAUAUUUAUGGCUCCAAUAAAAUCUCACAUCUGGUAUAUUUUAAAAUAAAAUUGAAAAUUUAUCACUU
rnacentral:lncRNA from 10 species